rnacentral:rRNA from 2 species
GAGCGAACGGGGAGGAGCCCAGAGCCUGAAUCAGCAUGUGUGUUAGUGGAAGCGUCUGGAAAGGCGCGCGAUACAGGGUGACAGCCCCGUACACAAAAGCGCAUGUGCUGUGAGCUCGAUGAGUAGGGCGGGACACGUGGUAUCCUGUCUGAAUAUGGGGGGACCAUCCUCCAAGGCUAAAUACUCCUGACUGACCGAUAGUGAACCAGUACCGUGAGGGAAAGGCGAAAAGAACCCCGGCGAGGGGAGUGAAAAAGAACCUGAAACCGU